GACGAACGCUGGCGGCGUGCCUAAUACAUGCAAGUAGAACGCUGAAGGAGGAGCUUGCUCUUCUGGAUGAUUUGCGCACGGGUGAGUAACGCGUAGGUAACCUGCCUGUUAGCGGGGGAUAACUAUUGGAAACGAUAGCUAAUACCGCAUAAGAGUAGAUGUUGCAUGACAUUUACUUAAAAGGUGCAAUUGCAUCACUACCAGAUGGACCUGCGUUGUAUUAGCGAGUUGUUGGGGUAACGGCUUAACAAGGCGACGAUACAUAGCCGACCUGCGAGGGUGGUCGGCCACACUGGGAAUGAGACACGGCCCAGACUCCCACGGGAGGCAGCAGUAGGGAAUCUUCGGCAAUGGACGGAAGUCUGACCGGGCAACGCCGCGUGAGUGAAGAAGGUUUUCGGAUCGUAAAGCUCUGUUGUAAGAGAAGAACGAGUGUGAGAGUGGAAAGUUCACACUGUGACGGUAUCUUACCAGAAAGGGACGGCUAACUACGUG
rnacentral:rRNA from 1 species